rnacentral:lncRNA from 10 species
CUCAUUGUGUCUAGAAAUGUAUUAUGACCUCCAUUUGGCCCUCGUUGUGCCCUUCUUAACUCCAGGAUCUCCAGGAAGUCACUCCGAGUUGGAUUUUAACAGGAAGCUGAGAGUUGACUACAUCCAUGGACCUCCCAGUGUUACAGUCUGGUCGUUAGUUCAAAGAAGAGACAUAAAGUGCUUCCAAAUGGCUCAUCCAUCACACAAUUAUCAAGAACCAAUUAAUGGCAAUGCAACAACACAUUGAUUUUUGUAUUUAUUUCCCAAAUCACUGAAAGUCAUUGGACAUGCUCUUCUUCACUCUGGCUCCAUCAAUCAACUCUGCUUUCUUGAUUAACACCAGGAAACCAACCAUCAGGUCUCCCAGAUUGUAUCAAAGACAUGAAACUUACCAAGUCACCACAUCUGGACGGUGAGAUUCAGGACUCUACACCCAUCACAAUUGCCUAAGUGACCACCUGCUUCCUAUUGACCAACUCCUCUUUCUUACCCCUCCGUAAUUUCUGUUUUCUCUCACAUGGUUACAUUUCUUACCUACUAUAUAAACCCUUAAUUCCAGUCCAUCACGGAGAUGGAUUUGAGGCUGAUCUUCCAUUCUCUUUGGCUGCAGCACCUGAAUAAAACCUUGUUCCCGAGCAAU